GUGAGUCAGUACCCAACCUGAGGUUUCUAUUCUACACCCUGCUGGGACUCUUCCAACUGCUCUUUGCCCCUGAGACAGGGAGGAUAACAGAGAACACACACACAGCUGUGACUGUGAGCUCCACCUCUGCCCCGGGUUCCAUGAGAAUUCCAGGCAGGCCAAAGAAUUGCCUUGGAGGGCUGCAUAAACCACCAAGCACUCUAGGCCGGAUGGAACACGCUAGCACAAAUGCAAAAGGUCACCUUGGACUGGGCCGAGCUGGUGAAUGCCAAUGAGCUGGAGCUCCCUGAAACCUCGGCUUAUGCAUGUCAGGCAGCUAACAUCACCAUUGGGCGCAGGCCUCCACCUCUGCAGCCCACGCUGACCCACGUAGAAAGGGUUUGCCUCACUGAGGGACCCCUUCAGAAUUGUUCACAUGGGAACCUGUCCAUCCAGGGUUCUCAACCUGCUAAAAGCUCUGGCCAGGCCCUUUUGCAAAUUAGCUUUUUUUCUGCAUAUAACCAUCUACAGAUUAGGUUUUUCCCUCCCUGACAUGAGGAAAAACAAUAACAGGGAGGCUCACGAAACUGCAGAAUCAUGGAACACAGCUCUCAGUGCCCUUUCUACAGACACACCCUCUCAGCUCCACGCAGGAGUCCAAUUCUUCACUGCUCCCAGGGCUUUUUGCCCAGAAGUGAACUUGAAAGAAGUAGGAACAUAAAGAUCCACAUGUCAACAGGUCUACAGAACAUCCUCAGAAUGUCAUUAGAAUGGGAGGCCCAACACCCCCUAAAUGCUAACAUCUCCACCCCAAUCCCAUUGCAUUGGCCCAAGUCAG
rnacentral:lncRNA from 1 species